rnacentral:rRNA from 1 species
AAAUCGUGCAGGCUAAUACCCUGUAUGGAUGACGGUACCGGAAUAAGAAGCACCGGCUAACUACGUGCCAGCAGCCGCGGUAAUACGUAGGGUGCGAGCGUUAAUAGGAAUUACUGGGCGUAAAGCGUGCGCAGGCGGUUUUGUAAGACAGGCGUGAAAUCCCCGGGCUCAACCUGGGAACUGCGCUUGUGACUGCAAGACUAGAGUACGGCAGAGGGGGGUGGAAUUCCACGUGUAGCAGUGAAAUGCGUAGAGAUGUGGAGGAACACCAAUGGCGAAGGCAGCCCCCUGGGUCGAUACUGACGCUCAUGCACGAAAGCGUGGGGAGCAAACAGGAUUAGAUACCCUGGUAGUCCACGCCCUAAACGAUGUCAACUAGUUGUUGGUAGGGUAAAACCUAUUAGUAACGGAGCUAACGCGUGAAGUUGACCGCCUGGGGAGUACGGCCGCAAGG